AAUACAGUGUUGGCGAGUCAUAUAUGCUUUGAAGAAUGAAGAGACCAGAGAAGAGGGCUACAAGUGUUGGAAGUAUGCGUGAUACAGUUUUACGCAAGACUUCCUGCGACAAUCUCCCUGAAAAUGUGACGCGUAGGGAGACAUGUUAAAUUGGUGUUAACUCUGUUUGGAAGAAUUCGUCAGUGAAACCAUCUGAGACUGGGGACUUCCUUUUUGAGAGCUUUUAAAAUUGAGAAACUUGGACAUGGAGAGAGACACACACACAGACAGAAUGCCAUGUCAAGAUGAGAGCAGAGAUCAGGAAGAUACUUUUUCAAGCCAAGGAAUGCCAAGACUGCCAGCAAGUAGCCAGAGGCUAGGAGAGAGGCACGGAACAAAUUCUCCCUCACAGCCUCACAAGGAACACUCUGAUCUCAGACUUGCACCCUUCCGAGCCACGAGGAAACAAGCUUUUGUCGUGUGAGCCUCCCAGUUUAUGAUACCUUGUUACAACAACCCGAGCAAACGAAGACACUCUUCUUCCCCAGCAGCCAGUAUGCAGGAGACCCAGCACCGGAAGGAUCCCGAGCGAAAAGUCAGGAAAAUGUUAGAACUACCUGAGAGGCUCAGACACCAUCUUUGAUCGUUUUAUUCCAAAUAAACACAGCACCAGGAGAGAGGGUCUGCAUGUCCAACUUCUCAGGGACAAACUUUUUGCCACUGUAGAGAAAGUUAACUGCUAAAACUACAUAAAAUCGAUUGUCCAUGUGGUAAUGCAUAGGUCAUGCUCCAGUUUGUUCUAUGAUGGAGUAAAGAAAAUAUGUGUCCUUCCAGGCAAAAUAUAAAAGUAAAGACAAUCUAUGGCAAAAAAAAUAAUGCUAUAGAUUCACAAGGGUACCUUCGCUGAUGUCUUCCUAGGGACAAAGGCAGACACUCCGUUUUGCAGCCAAAAAGGGCCGGGUGAGUAUGUAACUCUGACCCAUGAACAGCAAAUGAAAGUGGCAAAAGCAGAAGGAUAGAGGAGUUUAUGUGAGUCUCCCAUGCCUUCCUCCUCCACUGCCACAGAGGCCCCGGACGUCACUUACAGAAGGAAGGGAGGCACAAAAUUAAAGUAGACCGGAUCCUUAAGCCUCUGAUUGGAAGGGAGCCGCCUCGGAAAACCAUCCGGCCCUCAGUGAAGCUUCUGCAAGAAAUAGUUGCCUAUGAGAUUUGGUGGGGAUAAUCGAACCUGGCACUAUGGCCUGACUCAGACGAUGAUGAUGGCCUUCACCUUGGCAACCUGUAUUGGACCUGUGUACUAUUCAAAAACAAAAUAAAUAAUAAGCGAGUGGAGAAAUAUUCA